AGUUUGGACAUGUGGGACUGAAGUGUCUGGACAUGACUCUCGAAUUCAAUAGCUCAACAAGGGGUGCAGAUUUCAGGCAUCGGGGUGUCUUGUAUUGGUCAGGGGAAGCACCUAAGCUAACAAAGUAAUCCAUGAGCUUGUCAAAAGUCCCAAUUUCCACUAUCCUGAUCUCCAGAGGCCCAAUGGAUUUGUCAGAGGCACGGCCCUGGCGGUAGACACUAUUUAGAGAUUCUUCAAUGGUGAGGCAACAAUCUUCAAAGACUGAAGGAGGAAUAUGUG
rnacentral:misc_RNA from 1 species